ensembl:lncRNA ARHGEF35-AS1 ARHGEF35 antisense RNA 1
CAGGUCAUUCAACAUUUAUUCAACCAAAAAUACUAAGUCAGCUCUAUACAAACUAAUGGAAGGAUACAGCUAUGCAAAUAUAGAACACUAAAGUGUUACAUGACAGAUGUAUGAGAUAUUAAAGUAAUUGUGAAAUAAAAGAAAAAAUUGUCUGAUAAAACCACAUCUCAUAGAAACCCAAUGAAUGCAACACAUCUAAAAUUUUAUCUGCAAAAAACGAGAGAAGACUUGCCCUUCUGUCAGUAAAGCACAGAUAA